AGGGUGAGUAACACGUGGGAACGUGCCCUUUGGUUCGGAACAACUCAGGGAAACUUGAUCUAAUACCGGAUAAGCCCUUCGGGGGAAAGAUUUAUCGCCAUUGGAGCGGCCCGCGUAGGAUUAGCUAGUUGGUGGGGUAAAGGCCCACCAAGGCUACGAUCCUUAGCUGGUCUGAGAGGAUGAUCAGCCACAUUGGGACUGAGACACGGCCCAAACUCCUACGGGAGGCAGCAGUGGGGAAUCUUGCGCAAUGGGCGAAAGCCUGACGCAGCCAUGCCGCGUGAAUGAUGAAGGUCUUAGGAUUGUAAAAUUCUUUCACCGGGGACGAUAAUGACGGUACCCGGAGAAGAAGCCCCGGCUAACUUCGUGCCAGCAGCCGCGGUAAUACGAAGGGGGCUAGCGUUGCUCGGAAUUACUGGGCGUAAAGGGAGCGUAGGCGGAUAGUUUAGUCAGAGGUGAAAGCCCAGGGCUCAACCUUGGAAUUGCCUUUGAUACUGGCUAUCUUGAGUACGGAAGAGGUAUGUGGAACUCCGAGUGUAGAGGUGAAAUUCGUAGA
rnacentral:rRNA from 1 species